UUAAAUACCGGUAUUAUGUUCCUCAAAUGCAUCGUUUGGUAUAGAUUAAUCGAUAGGGUCCUCGGUUAGUGUUAUGUAUAACACCCGCAACCUCAACUAUGAUUUAAACGCUCACCUGUCAUUACAGAAAGCAAACUCUUCGUGAUUUAUCAUCCUUUUUAUAUUCAUUGAGAUUUAAUUGUUUGCUCCGUAAGUUAGUACCCUUUUUAAUUGUAACAGAUGGUUUAAAAUCCACCAACUGCCUCAUGAAAAAUUCUUUUGUAAGCGGCCGCCUGCGUAAUUUUACACGGGGAUGAUCCAUUUUUCCAAGUGAUCAAUACUAAGGUCUCUCUUUAGCAAGCUACUCUGCUCAACCUCCCUCUCAUGGGAGUAUCAAUGACAGCUAUUAGCGAGGGUAGUCCUUUGACAGUGAAUUAUUUAGCAGCUGGAUAGAUAUAGAUGUUUCAGUCUGCAUUUUCAUCACAGCAUAUCGGAAUGAGUACGCAGUCUUGUUCCAGCCGCUAUUAGUUUUGUGAGGAAACUUUUCUUGAUGCAAGUACGUGCAUAUAUACCUACAUUAUUUUUUGAAAAACAUUUACAACUAGCCUCAUCCGUGGCUGUUAUUUACAGUGUUCUCAACUCAUACAUAAAACUAUAAAUUAACUAAUACUAAUUUUUAUUAUUUUAAAAAUUAAAUCAUUCACACCAACUUCCGUCUUAUUUUAAAACUUAAAUCAUUUACACCAAUUUCCGUCUUAUUUUAAACAUGAAUUCAUUCAUACUAAUUUCUAUCUUUAUUUUUUUAAUCUUCCCAUCCAGGAUCCAGGUACUCUAACUUCAACUCCCUUCGCAUCAUCAGGUCCAAUGAGCGAAUCACUCGGUAGAACCACAUGGCAAGAAAAACUCGUUUACUUUCAUUUACGAGGUGGAACAGGCCUAAGCAGAACUCUUGACACUAGCGAACGUGCGAGCAAGAUGAUUCGCAUGUUUCACACGACAAUGGUAGUUCCCAUCAUGAUUUCUCUGACCUUGGAAAUGUGCGGAAUGGUGAGUCAUCUAUGCUCGUCACCAGUUAGUUUGCAAAAGGUAAUUCUUACUUUGAAUUUCGGCUGCCUAUUCAUCGCCGAUUUCAUCGUGCAGUACAUUUUUCUUGUGCGCCAGUUCAGGUACAUCGCGUGUCUCCAUAAUAUAUUAGACCCAGAUCUUUACUGCUACCGAGACCGGGACAAGGGAUUUAUGCUAUACAAAAACAAAAUAACGGACUCAUUUCUGGUGUGUAUGCUGGUGUUCAUGUACAGCCUCGGUAUAUUCAACGGGAUCGUCUCCCCAAUCCUCAGAUUUGGUCUAGACUUCGAUGAUUGGUUCAUCGUCUUUCCGAUGUGGUACCCGAUCGACGUCACUUCAUCAAGAAGAGUCUUUUGGUUCGUUCUCGUGUUCGAGACUGUUAUAAUUUGGUACCUUUCCUUUGUGUUUGCCACCGUGGGUGUUCUGUACAUGCACACUAUUCUGAGCAUUCGUGCCGAGUUUGAGACACUGAAUCAAUACCUGAGAAAUGAUGGGCGUAGACAGUCGUCUCAAACGCAAGAGCCUCCUUUUAAGACGCCAGAAAAAGUAGGGUGGAAACCUAAAGCUAUCUUCGACCUGAAAACAUUCAAUAAUACUGGACUCGGCGAUGAUUUCGAUGGAGGUUGUAAUCAUUUGAAACAAGUGAUUCAAGAUUGGCAAAAUUGA
rnacentral:lncRNA from 1 species